rnacentral:rRNA from 1 species
GCUGAAACUCGCCUACAUGAAGCUGGAGUUACUAGUAAUCGCAGAUCAGAAUGCUGCGGUGAAUGCGUUCCCGGGUCUUGUACACACCGCCCGUCACACCACGGGAGUUGGAGACGCCCGAAGCCGAUUAUCUAACCUUUUGGAAGAAGUCGUCGAAGGUGGAAUCAAUAACUGGGGUGAAGUCGUAACAAGGUAGCCGUAUCGGAAGGUGCGGCUGGAUC